rnacentral:lncRNA from 1 species
AAUUUUAAAAUGAGAUGAUAUUUUCGGAUAACAAUUGUGUAGUGACAUAGGUGAACAGUUAGCAGAUGAUACUGAAACUGUAAUUCAAACCGCUGGUAAAAUCUAUACGAAUGUGAAAGAAACCAUUGCUGCUAAUAAGUAUCUAACCAAAAAAGUUGACAUGAUUGAGAAAGAGGAACAAUAGAUAAUUAUACAUGAGAAUUGUUAGCUUAUAGAGUGUGAUGCAUUCGAAGAGGAUGAAAAUUAUUCUUGUCACAUUUUGUGAAAUCCCUGUUGUGCUGUUUGCUAACUAUAAUGUUGUUCAUCAUGUGUCAUGUAAGUAAGUGCUCUUUGGAGUGAUCUGUAUCACGGAGAUCGACAAUUAUCAUUAGUCAUUCUAGAGCACAGUUGUUUAUAA